AAUCCUUUGGCGCUUCUCUAACAGCUAAGUAGUGACUUUUCUGCAAGAAAAUAUUUUGCUUUCACUUGGUGAUUUGUGUGCACUAACUCACUGGGUGUGCAUGGACUAUAGAUAAAUGUUUCAAUUUUUUUUUUUUUUUUGUAAAUGGAAAUGAGUAUCAUAAGGCUGGAAAGGCUAACUUAUUCCUAUUUUAUUUUUAUCUUUUUCCUCCCCAGGAUGAAGUCUUGCAGCUACAAGAGGAACAGUUGUUUUUGAGGCCGGCAAAGGUGGAGAUGAAGCAAGUUGGAAGCGUUUGGCUGUUUUGAAGAGCUAAGUACCAAGUUUAGUCUUCGGAGUUACUGUCGGCCCUUGUGUGCACUUUGUCACGAAUUCACUGGGUGUGCACGCGCAUGCGUCUUAGCUUUGUUUGUUUACAGAGAUGGGUAAGUUGAAAUAUGUAAAAGUAUUUCUCCUCCCCCAGGAUGAAGAGUAAGAAAUGGGCUGGACGCACAAGAGGAACGUUGCUUUGGCUAUUUAGAGGUUUGGAGAUGAGGCGGCGCACGACUAAGCGGACCCGCCACUGAAAGAAGACUGACUGAAGAGUUCAGUUUGUUAGUGGCAGGGUGGAGGAGGAGAGGUUUUUGGACGGGAAGCGCGGAAUGGGCUCAGAAGCAGCCGGAUCGUUUGACGGAUGGUCGUGGCUUGUCUUGAAUUGAGCGACACAAAUUCAGCAUUUCCCGAACAAGAAUGCGGCCCCCGGGGCUGGAGAAGCACCCGGACGGACGGGUCCAGGAAGAACGGAGCAGCCCACGACGUGGAGGUCUUGAGCGGGACGCCACCAAGUCCGAGCUAACGGGGUGCAAAGAAGGUUGGACUGGAUGAGGAAAAGGACUCGUCGCACAGAAGUGAAGAAAGAAGAGCCAUCCAGAUGAGUACUUUUUUUUUCCUCUGAAUAUGUAUUGAGCCUGGGUUGAGUGUAGUUAGGGUAGGUGCGCUUUUUGACGAAGGCAGGUCGGACUCGGUUUGGUUAGUAAGCGGACGUCGUUGGGCUCGGUCCGGAGCGGUUGAAUGGAGGAGUUGCUAGGGAGGCAAUGUAAUGUUUGAGGGUGACUCCACAGGUACUCUGUGCCGGGAUCAACGACUUGAGGUGAGGGAGUUUUUGAUUCUCCAUGAAAAGUAAGCAUAUGUCUAGUUUUGAGUAAAUUUUUUUUUUUCUUCUUUUUUUUUACUACAGGCAUCAAGAAGAAAGGUGGAAAUGUUUUGCAGCUUGAGGAGCUUUACUGGGAGAGUAUUUCCAAAAACUAAUUUUUGAUGUUUGUGGGCACUUCACGAAGUCACCGGGUGUGCACGGACUGUUUUCCUUUUGUGCGCAAAGAUGUCAAUGAUAUGAAGGUGAGAAGGCUCGAUUGAUAAAUUUUGUUUUUGGCUCCCCAGGGUGGAAGAGGAGCAAAUGUCGAAAGCGCGCCCCCCCCCCCCCCUCCCUCACGGCUACAAAAGGAAGAGUUGCUGCUUUUUCAGCGCUCAAAGGGGGAUGUGGCGGCCCGCCUCCAGCGCCAAGGAGCGGUUUUAAUCAGAGUAAGUUUGUUACUUUGUGUGCAGGCAAUAAUGUGUAUUUGUGUUGAAAACCAAAGUCAUAUUUUUCUCCCCAGGAUGAAGACGAGCGGAUGGGCUGCAGCUCCAAGACGAAGAUGUUUUUUUUUUAUUAUUUUUUUUUUUUUUGAGGUGCGUUUGCAAUAAAAGCCCAAUGCCAAACCUGAUAGUUGGCUGUUUAGGAACAUGAAAUGCGUCUUUGAUGCGGGAGCAACUAUGGAAUGAGUGCGUUGGAAAUUGCGAUCCGUAGGAAGAAAGGCCGGUUGCGGAAGAGGACCGCGGCGGCGGCUUUGCCGAAGUCUACGAGGAGCGGAAAGGUGAGCGAAGUGAUCAAUGGCCGUCAAUUUGUAGCGGUUGUUUGCAGAUGAGGCUCGUAAAGGCUGCGCACGGGUAAGUCGGCAUCUGGAUGUAAUGUUGACGAAUGAGUCGAAUUUUCUGAGUGUCGGGUUUUGUUUUUUUUUCUGACAGGGUGGAAGAGGCGGCGUUUUCUGGAUGAAAGGAAGCAAGGCUCCUCAGGAUGGGAUGAAAAUGACCAAUUCCUCGCACCAACUCCAGAGGCAUACAGAUGAGUGAAUUUUUAUUUGUAAUUGUUACGGAGGGGAGAUGUCAAUGACAAAUGUGAGCGGGCAGGAUACGGAGCCGCGGCGGAGGUGCCGGUCGGAGGUAGUUUGGUCUGUUUGGGAAGGAAGGAAGGUUGAGACGGUGGGCAGGUUGUUAGGCUCGGUGUGGACUAGGUUUGAGUUGCAAAGGUCGCUGGCUUUGAAACGAGGAAUUGGUAGUUGGCAACGGACUGAGGGAGACUCGAUAGGUGCUUGUUGUGCAUGUCCAGUUUGUCGUUUGUAUGGGGGGGGGCAAAAAUGUUCAUGAUAAUUGAUGUAGUUUUUUUUCUUGCAGGCAUCUGGAGCCAAAAGGUGCACCUGCUGUGCUGUUUGAAAAGCUAAGUAACUUGUAGAAGUUUUUAUCUAAUGUAUUUAUUUAUUUUUUGGUGUUUGUGCUUCCUCACUGAGUCACCGGGUGUGCAUGGACUGUCGUUUUCUUUUGUGUACAAAUAUUGGAAGGAUGUCAAGGCUGAAAUGGGUGACUUAAUUAUUUAUUUUUUUUUUUAUUUUUGCCUCCCCAGGAUGAAGACCCAGAAAUGCGGCGGAGCUCCAAAAGGAAGAGUUGGCGGUUUUUCCAGGGUGAAUAUGAAUGCGCUCUGCUUGGGGAAUCUUCUAUCCAGGGAGUAUGUCUCUUGGCUGCGCUGGGGUCACUUAAUCACAAGGUCACGGUGCGCCGAGCUGGGCAUUCUGGGACACAACUUGGUGGAGCGCCGAAGGUGAUGUCAAGUUUGCUUAUUUGUGUGUCAAAGCUUCAAUAAAAGUUGAACUAAGCAAUGAGAUGGGUGAUUUUCGGACGCGCUGGCUUUUCCGUUGGAUGUGAGGUAGAAGUAGCAGUUGACGACACGGGCGUGUAAUGAAGCUUUUGACCUAUUUUAAUGUAAGUAACUUGGUUAAUGAUAAAAUGUCUUUUUUAUUUUUUUUUUUUUAGUCCAAAUGCGAUUAAAUGUAAUAACAUUCAAUUGGAAGUAUUUGGUGCUUUCAAUGGAAGCAGCCGCUUCCAAAUGUCAAGGUGUCUGGAAGUCAGACCCUUUAAUUUAUAAUUUUUUUUUUUGUAUAUUUUUGUUGUAUUUUUAUUUUAGUAG